rnacentral:rRNA from 1 species
UUGAACGCUGGCGGCAUGCCUUACACAUGCAAGUUGAACGGUAACGCGGGGCAACCUGGCGACGAGUGGCGAACGGGUGAGUAAUACAUCGGAACGUGCCCAGUAGUGGGGGAUAGCCCGGCGAAAGCCGGAUUAAUACCGCAUACGACCUAAGGGUGAAAGCAGGGGACCGCAAGGCCUUGCGCUAUUGGAGCGGCCGAUGUCAGAUUAGCUAGUUGGUGGGGUAAAAGCCUACCAAGGCGACGAUCUGUAGCUGGUCUGAGAGGACGACCAGCCACACUGGGACUGAGACACGGCCCAGACUCCUACGGGAGGCAGCAGUGGGGAAUUUUGGACAAUGGGGGCAACCCUGAUCCAGCAAUGCCGCGUGAGUGAAGAAGGCCUUCGGGUUGUAAAGCUCUUUUGUCAGGGAAGAAACGGUGAGUUCUAAUACAGCUUGCUAAUGACGGUACCUGAAGAAUAAGCACCGGCUAACUACGU